rnacentral:rRNA from 1 species
AAAUUGAAGAGUUUGAUCAUGGCUCAGAUUGAACGCUGGCGGCAGGCCUAACACAUGCAAGUCGAACGGUAACAGGAAUUAGCUUGCUG